GACUCCAAGGCUGGCUCCUCUACAGAUGAGGAGGCGUCUGAAGCAGGGGAGAAGGGAGAGCAGUACGAGGAGCUGGCCACCCCACCCCUUCCAGAACGACUCAUGGAGGAAAAGAAAAAGGCAGCUCCCUCCAAAGAUGAGACGUCAUGUGGAGGGAUGACCUCUGCUAACCUGCAGGCCCACAAGCUGUGUGCCAAGGCUGCCAUUGAGCAUGCUCAGAAGAGGGUGGAGGAGGCCGCCCAGGCUAUGGUGGAGGUGAUGGGGCCUGCUGGUCAGGGUGCUGGUACUCUGAGUGUGGAGGCUAAAGCCAAACACCCUGCUGAGGGCAGUCAAGUCAACGACCCCCAUCCAUCUCUACCAGUAACAAGAACAGUGUUGUGGGUCGGAUGAGGAUUUAACAGGUCACCGCCCUCUCAAUGGGUGGUGUUCCUAUCUACCAGCAGCUGAGCAUCAAUGUGAAUGUGAGCCAGGUCGUAGAGCUGGGCCUGAUGAACUGACUGCUACCAGACCAACUGCUGGUGGGCAACCUCUCAGAGAGACCACAGCUGAGUGACUGUCACCGGGGUGUUGUGAUGGACGGGAUGGAGACGCUGUACUGCCGCUCCCCCAGCAGCAUCCUAUAGAUCAUCAAGGCUUCAUCUACAUGGUCAACCUCUCAAUCAACUACUACGUCUUCAAAGCCAAGGAGAGGGCACAGAGAGAGGCAGAGGGUGAGGACAAACUAGUCCAAAGGAGACUGCGCCCCAUAUAAACCUCUCUGUUAUUGGGAGGGGACUAUCCUAGUGGAACAGAGACCCUGAAAAGCAACAUACUUGAAGAGUCUCUUGAAGAGGGUUUGGACUCAAAAGCCCUCCUAUCCCCUCCUCCACUAUGUCCUCUGUCAUACUCUACACUAAGAACAGGCCUGUGUCCAGUGCACAGCAGAUCACUAGUUCCUUCCCCUUCAUGGUGUCCUCAGCCCCAAAGGAAGCUUAAGGCUCGGUCAAGGAAGAGGCGUUGACCUCUACUGAAGGACGGGGGGAAGAAGGCAGACACGGGCAGAGAGAGUCAGAAAGACAAGAGACCCACCAUAGCCAAAAAGGGGUCCAGGAGCCAAUGACUCCCGCUCCCCUCCUCUAAAGGCUGUGACUCGCUUAUUUGACACUGAGCAGUGCCAACAGGAGUCCCAACAGGAGUCCCAACAGGAGUCCCAACAGGAGUCCCAACAGGAGUCCCAACAGGAGUCCCAACAGGAGUGCAAACUACAUAAGAAUACACAAGAAUAAACACUGAUGUGCAUGAAUGUGACUUAAAGGUUUGUGUUGUUUUCUAUAGGCUCACCACAUUCCACUGGAAUGUCCCGCCCUAUGGAGAGGCGACCCUGAAGAUCUGGUUCCACUCCCAAGUCCCUGUCAAGUUUGACAAAACACUGAAUUUUGAGUUGUUGGGUACCAAGAUAUGUUUCAAAAUGUACUGUGGGGGAAUCUAUACAUAUCUAUCCAUCAGCAGAAACACAAAGAUGGUAUUUGCCCACAGGAAGAGAGUCCUUUGCUGAAGCGUUGCAGAAGAGCUACAUCAUCCGCUCUGUCCUCUAUGAGUUUGGCCCACUGCUCUGUGGCAAGACCACAGAUAGGUAUAUAGAGGAAGUAUCCAGAGAACAUGGAAAGGUUGGUGAUACACAACAACACCCCACUGGAUGCUGAGAUUCACUUCUUCUUCCAGCAUGACACCAAGGCUGCCACCUACCAACUGGACCCUCCCAACAUGACCCUUAAACCCAACGAGAGACAAGAAGCCAAUCAGAACUACUCAUGACAUCAUAGAAUGUAGUCUGAGAUGUCGGAUUAGUCAGAACCCUGACUGUGUGACACAAACUUACCUAGAAGUUAUGACUGUUCACUGAUAUUAUCAGUGAACAUUCUCACGCCCAUUUACUUUUGUUCUCGUUUUGAAACUCCAAUGAUCCAUGGUUGUGCCCUGGCAGAUAGAAGACAGUGUGGUGUAUCAAAGAGAACCCAGAGCCAGCAUUUCUGUUGUGGGGUCCAUCCCGAGCUUGAAUGCAAGCAGCUGCAUUUUGAAAAUAAUUCAUUAACAUUACCCAGAACUGCUGUAUCGUUUUUAAACCUGCUUCAGUAACAAAGUAGGAGAUUUGUUUUUGUCAUGGUAGUUUUCUGUUGAUUUUCCUUUCGCCACUCUACUACAUUCUCCCUGUGCUGGUUGUGAACCUCAGGAAGAACACAAGGAGUCUGUACCUGCGUAACAACACGCUGCUGCCUGUAGCCUGGAGGCUAGAGGUGCUGGGGGAUGAGUUCAGUGUUUCCCAGGACCAGGGCAUCAUACUUAGGGAUCCUUGGGGUGUCCCUACCCAAACCCCUAACCCUAAACUUAACCCCUACCCUUAUUCAAACCAUAACCUUAACCAUAACCCUGACCUACCCCUAACCUUAAUUCUUACCUUAACCAUUUUAAAUUUCAACUUCAAAGGGGUAGAGAAGCCCCAAGGAUCCCGGAUAGCAUGGACCCUUGUCUCAAGCCAGAUUGCGCGAUUGCCGUCUGCACUGAUCGGUUGAGGAACGAGCGUUGCGUAGGAGUGACGCCAUCUGACAUGAGACAAUGGCCCAUCAACCUAAAGAGAGCCAUAUGCCUCGAGGUACAUUACUGGAUGAUGAUUGAUUUGUUGUUUGGUAUCGACUGUUGCAUUAUUCCUGUUUACCUCAUAUUGUUGUUGUGUGACAUUCUGUCUGUGUUGCCGUGUGUGUUAUGUGCCUGAUGUGAGGAACAGACAGCCCCCAGGUCUGCUUCUCUACAUAGGUGGUCCACCUCCAUGUAGACUGUACCAAGGAGGUGACCGUGGCCUUCUGCUCAGAGCCGCCCAUAGUACUGACUGCCCAGCCUAUCAAGUGUAAGCUGUGCAGGGUGGUGUUCCAGCAGGAGGUGGACCAGGUGCCAGACUGGGACGACCGCCUCAGGACCAUCAUGUGGGUUGAGUCUGGGAAACAGGCGGGUAGUCAACAGUCUGCAAAGAAGAAGUUCAAGUCACACAGGCUUACUAAAAAGGCUACCUUUUUGUGACUGUAUUUAUUGUUUAUCAUCAUGACCCAUGCAGGGAGGAUAUUUGCUGACUACUCAGACUCCUUGCUCUGGUCAAAUGCUACACCACGCCCACAGACAUCAGUUUCUCCACAAUCAGUCUGGAUCUGAGUACCUCCCCAAUGAUUUCUGGAAUGUAAACACAUUCUAUCUGUUCUGAUUGGUCCCAGAAACCCAUGGGUUGGGUCAGAGCCAGGGUAAAGCAGCGUUUUGAAAAUAUGUCAUUAGCUUUAAUACUCU
ensembl:lncRNA